GACGAACGAGGGAGGCGUGCGUAACACAUGCAAGUCGAACGGAAAGGCCCUGCUUUUGUGGGGUGCUCGAGUGGCGAACGGGUGAGUAACACGUGAGUAACCUGCCCUUGACUUUGGGAUAACUUCAGGAAACUGGGGCUAAUACCGGAUAGGAGCUCCUGCUGCAUGGUGGGGGUUGGAAAGUUUCGGCGGUUGGGGAUGGACUCGCGGCUUAUCAGCUUGUUGGUGGGGUAGUGGCUUACCAAGGCUUUGACGGGUAGCCGGCCUGAGAGGGUGACCGGCCACAUUGGGACUGAGAUACGGCCCAGACUCCUACGGGAGGCAGCAGUGGGGAAUAUUGCACAAUGGGCGGAAGCCUGAUGCAGCAACGCCGCGUGCGGGAUGACGGCCUUCGGGUUGUAAACCGCUUUCGCCUGUGACGAAGCGUGAGUGACGGUAAUGGGUAAAGAAGCACCGGCUAACUACGUG
rnacentral:rRNA from 1 species